UUGUAAGGAAUAUCUGAAGAUAUUCCAAGUGGAAUUUAAAGUCCUGGGUUACAGAACUCCAAAAGCUCCUUAAAAAAAAAAAGGUUGGUAUCCCUUUAAGAACCAUUUGGUACAAUUCAUAGCUUGAUUCAUGUCACCAGCUGCCUCUGAUUUCAGUGAGAAAUGCAGAAAUUUACAGGGAACUGUAAAAUGGGGACAGGUUUUUAGUUUUCUAAAUUGAGGUUUAACUGGCAAACUUCUGAAGGUUUAAGAAACCACGAAGCUGGGCUGUGGAAAGCUGGUUUCUUUUCCGGUCCGAACAAAUAAAUACACAAACACAUACCUAACUCUCAAAGUGUCCGGAGAGAGAAACCAGUGCGCGUUGCAGAAGGGAAAAAGAAAAACUAGCCUUGUGGGCACCAGGAAGACAGCCACCCUGGCCGGCAGGCAGCACCCUGUCCUGACAGAGGGGGAGAUCUGAGCUCCAGCAGCACCCAGGGCAGGAUUGGCACAAACUCUCCCGCUUCAAGUUGCACAGCUCGGGAGUCCCAGGCAUCCAGCGCCGCCACAGCUCUCUUUGCAGAGCCCAAAGGUUUGACGAGAAACACCCAACCUCCCACGGGACGCGCAGAUGAAGAUACAAAGGUCCAGAGAAAUCAAGUGUGAUAGUUCCCCUAGGUGUUCCUGGGCCACCUGGAUCCAGCAGCCCCAUCUCCAGAGCAGGAGAAAGGAGGUCACAUAAAGCAGAUAUUAGCUGAGCUCCGGCUGUGUGGUGGGCAGACCCUGGAAGAAGUCAGAGUCUAAUUCCCUUCCAUUGUUUCAGGAGCACUAGGUUCCCAUUCUCCCUCCACAGCCUUUUGUUCUUCUACAUCCUGCUCAUCUCUGCCACUGUCACCUCCUUCAUUGCUGUCACGAGAACUCAGGCACGUGCCACCACUGCUCACCGUAUCUUCUGGAUUCUUCCUGACCACCUGGGUGACUCUGAGCUCUCAGAAGCUUCCCUUUUUCAUUUUCAUCUUUGAACAAGAUACUGCUUUCAAUUUUCCACCAACUGAAAGAGAAAAGACAUGAAUACUGGACUGAAAGCUUUACGAGGAUGCAAGUUGACACAUAGUAUAAAAGCUUUAUCUAGAAUCUUGGCACUAAAAUUUCAGUAUAUUAUGGGAAAAUCCUAACAAUAACCAGAGAAAAUAAAGGCAUAUUCCUGCUAAAAGGAUGAAAAUGAAGUUACAUCAGAAAUAAGGGGGAAAUGGAGGUUAGCUUAAAGUAUAAAAGGAAAAAACUUAAAAUUCAUAAUUGUUCACAGAUAUGCAAGUAAGAGCGAUUCUAGAUAUACUUAGCCUCUAAAAGCUUCCAAUUUGCAAGCUUUUUCACAACGAUUUACUAGAGGGAGGCUACCAAGGGAAAGAAAGGUGGUUAGACACAGUUGGUGUCUGGAAUAUUGUGGAAAAAUUGAUGCACUCAUACAAUGCAUUGGAAAUUCAAAGUGACACAGACAACAAAGGAUAAUCUGAGGGUUUAGGUAAAAUAAAAAUGUGUUUAUACAGGCAAUCACCAGUUUACAUCUGUCUCUGAAACACUUUCACAUGGACAAGAAUUUUCAUUGCAGUACUUUUUGUCAGGGAUAAACCUGGGCCUGGUUGGAGAGAGGCUAACUAUAAUAUAAUUCAUUCAUGUCGUGAACUAUUUAUCACACACUAGGAAGGAGAAUGAGAAAGAGAAUGUGUCCCCAUAGAUGUAGCUGCAGUAUUUAUUAAUGAGUGCAAAGAUUAGGUGGAAUUUAUAUAACUAGGGUAUGGCUUAUUUCACUAAAAAACCAAUAGAUUCACUAAACAACAUCUAUUUUGUAUUUUCCACGAAUAUACUGCACAUAUUUGUUAUAUUAUAGAAAAAAAUAUGGAAGGAGAUAUAUCAAACAUAAAUAAUUAUUGGUAUGGAGGAAGUGACCCAAAGAGAUUUUAUUCUUUUAUGUUCGGGUAUCUCCAUGUUUAAUUAUUUGACUCAACAGACAUUUAUGGGUGUUUUUCUAAUUUGUGGUACUGCCUUUAGUGCUAGGCCUUUUAGGUCAGGGCCAGAGGUUUGGUUGCAUUUUUAGUACAACUGGAAAUCACUGAUGCAUUGUAAGCAGGUUGAGGUGCGGUGCAAUACACAGUUAUAAAAUGUUCCUCUGGGUACUGUGAAGAGAAUGGAUUUGAGGAGCCAGAGGAAAGGAAAGCAGUUACAAUAUACCUGUUAGGACCCAGACCCUUGGUGGGCAUAGAGCCUGGAGUCCAUGGAAAUGUUUUGAUUUUAACUUCUUUUAAAAUCAGAAUAAAAAAAUAAUUGAGCAUGAACUAUAAUUGACUUUAUACCAAUAUGGCAUGAAAAUGUGAUUUUUAGUAUGUUUUUUAAUAGGUGAGAGUCCUGAGUGUUAUAGACCAUCCCUGACUUUGCAGAAUCCUUUGGUUGGGCCAAAGAGUGACCAUAGACAUGGUCACAGAGGCACAGGGCAAAAAGCAAAGACAAAAUAGGUUUUGGAAGUAGAAAACCUGAACCUGGUUAAAAAUUUAGAGCACAGAGUGAGGCAAGGUGGGGAAGCAAAGACAAAGUGCAGGAUUUGGACUCAGAAAGGCCUUGUUUCCAUUUGCCUGAGAUGGGGAAGAGAGUCCGGAAGCCGUGGAUAUCAGAGCACAUGGACCUCACAGCGCAUGGACCUGAAAUGCCAGGCCCCACAUGGCUGGUAAACUGGGCUUCCCAGGCUGGUGAUUCUCUUUUUGGGCCGAGUUUAAUGGGGAAGUUCAACAAGGUGAAUUUCUAGCCCCUGACAAACUGGUCCCAAAUCUCCCAAGUGGACCAAGAGGGCUGCUGAUUUUUUAGGCAACAGGGAGAAAAAAAUAAACACACAGAAAGGUUUCCUAAACAGAGAAUGACAUAACUAGAUAGGUUUUUUUUUGGUUUUUGUUUUUAAAAGCCCUCUUUGGUAAAUGAAUGGGAGACAAGAACGAGGUGUGAGAUGCAGGAGGAUAAAUUAGGGUGUCAGCUACACUUACUGUUCCCAGGCUGCUGACUCUUGGGCUGCUGCCAGCCUCAAGGAAAACGUCCUGAAGCUAAAGUCAUUUGGAAACGAGCUGGAAGGACCUCCAGACGAGUCCCGGGCAGAGCAUAUUUUGGCUGAGACUCUGGGCAUCUGGUGUACAUGGGCCUGGUGGCCCUUAACAGUUUUUUGGCUAAACCACAGGGCAAAUUUAAACACUUUCAGUUGUCACAACAUAGCAAAUCUGAAUGACAAUGAUUUUUUUUAAAGAAGGAUUUUAAAAAUAAGAAUACAUCACAGAAGUCAUUCCAACACAGCUGGCUGUUUCUCAU